rnacentral:rRNA from 1 species
AGAGUUUGAUCMUGGCUCAGGACGAACGCUGGCGGCGUGCCUAACACAUGCAAGUCGAACGGUCUUGCGAUGUUCGAAGUUCGAGGUUCGAAGUUCGAAUUAAGUUAACAUCUGAGGGAUUAAAAGACCACAGAGAACAUCUUAAUUCGCGCAUCGUGCAUCGCACUUCGAACUUCGCGGAUAGUGGCGGACGGGUGAGUAACGCGUGGGUAACCUACCCAUAAAGCCGGGACAACCCUUGGAAACGAGGGCUAAUACCGGAUAAUCUUGAGUUGUGGCAUCACGAUUCAAGGAAAGAUGGCCUCUGAAAAUGCUAUCGAUUAUGGAAGGACCCGCGUCUGAUUAGCUAGUUGGUGGGGUAAAGGCCUACCAAGGCGACGAUCAGUAGCCGGCCUGAGAGGGUGAACGGCCACACUGGGACUGAGACACGGCCCAGACUCCUACGGGAGGCAGCAGUGGGGAAUCUUCCGCAAUGGACGAAAGUCUGACGGAGCAACGCCGCGUGUAUGAUGAAGGUCUUCGGAUUGUAAAGUACUGUCUUUGGGGAAGAACGGUUUUCUUGAGAAGAUUGAGGAGACAUGACGGUACCCAAGGAGGAAGCCCCGGCUAACUACGUGCCAGCAGCCGCGGUAAUA